rnacentral:rRNA from 3 species
GGUGGGCUCGCCCACCGAUCGGACAACACUUAAACCCUUUGUAAUUGAAAUCAGCGUCUGAAAAAACUUAAUAGUUACAACUUUCAACAACGGAUCUCUUGGUUCUGGCAUCGAUGAAGAACGCAGCGAAAUGCGAUAAGUAGUGUGAAUUGCAGAAUUCAGUGAAUCAUCGAAUCUUUGAACGCACAUUGCGCCCCUUGGUAUUCCAUGGGGCAUGCCUGUUCGAGCGUCAUUUGUACCUUCAAGCCUUGCUUGGUGUUGGGUGUUUGUCUCGCCUUUGCGCGCAGACUCGCCUCAAAACAAUUGGCAGCCGGCGUAUUGAUUUCGGAGCGCAGUACAUCUCGCGCUUUGCACUCAUAACGACGACAUCCAAAAAGUACAUUUUUACACUCUUGACCUCGGAUCAGGUAGGGAUACCCGCUGAACUUAAGCAUAUCAAUAAGCGGAGGAAAAGAAACCAACAGGGAUUGCCCUAGUAACGGCGAGUGAAGCGGCAACAGCUCAAAUUUGAAAUCUGGCGUCUUUGGCGUCCGAGUUGUAAUUUGCAGAGGGCGCUUUGGCAUUGGCAGCGGUCCAAGUUCCUUGGAACAGGACGUCACAGAGGGUGAGAAUCCCGUAC